rnacentral:lncRNA from 1 species
GGCUUCGCAUUAGCAGUACUAAAGCGCAUGCCAUCCGCACAAAAAGGGAUGACGAAGGACUGCAGAGAGCUGCCAGACAGCUUUGCAAAACGUCGUCAUACACAAGUGCUUCGAUGCACUACGGCAUCAAAACAGAAGCCAUAGCACGAGAAGAGCUUCAACAAAAGCUUGGAAUCCGCAUUGUGCAGACAGGACUCGUCGUGCUUCCAGAACAGCCGUGGCUGUGCUGCAGCCCAGAUGGACUGGCAAAAAUGGGCAGUGAAACAGUGUUGAUUGAAAUCAAGUGCACCUUCAAGUACAAAGAGGAAUCUUUCAUCAACUAUGAAGAAAGGCAAAGCUUGCUCCCCUAUUUAGCAUUUAAUGGGGAUGUGAUUCUGCUGAAAACCACACACUGUUACUAUACACAAAUUCAGGUUCAGCUAUACAUCCUGAACCUGCGCAGAGCCCUUCUCUGUCUACAGCCCAAAGCAUUCAGUAAUGGUGACUGUUGGUCGGGACGAGGCUUUCCUUUGGGAACUCAUACCGAAGUUGGAGUGCUUUUAUUUCAGAUUUUUGGUGCCGUCCUUGUUCUAGGUUUUCAUGCUUUUAUUUGUGGGCUAAUGCGUGAUGCUUCGUUCAAGUGGAACUUCUGCUUUUGGGUAAAUUAAAUCAUUUUGUAUAUACGACUUCAUCUUGGAGUAAAACCUACUUAUGCUUUUUGUACUUAAGUGUUAGGUUACGUGUAUUUUAGCAUUGAUUU